GACAAUCUAAAGUAACAGAGUAUAAUCACAUUUUCUGUCUUAUUAGUACAGAACAUAAUAGACAAGUUAAAAAUAAAUUAAGUGCAUGAAGAUAAAUAAGACAGAUCGUUUGUUAAUCCAAUUCGGUGCAACGUCACCUAAUCUGGAGGAUUAUCAAUCCAGGAAUGAAUUCACUAUAAUGUGGAGAAAUGGGAUGCAGUCAGAGUUUAAACUUCAGUCCCUCAAUUAAUAUCUCUUAGUAGCUACCAACUAAAUUGUGGGGGAACAAUCCAAGUGGCGGUGCUACGUUGCUAGGCGAAGCAAUCGAAGGUUGCACCCUAGAU
rnacentral:lncRNA from 1 species